rnacentral:rRNA from 1 species
UACGUAGGCAGCAAGCGUUGUUCGGAGUUACUGGGCGUAAAGGGUGCGUAGGCGGCUUGGUAAGUCGGAUGUGAAACCUCCAGGCUCAACCUGGAGUCGCCAUCCGAUACUGCCAUAGCUAGAGUCCGGUAGGGGCCCACGGAACUCCUGGUGUAGCGGUGAAAUGCGCAGAUAUCAGGAAGAACACCGGUGGCGAAGGCGGUGGGCUGGGCCGGCACUGACGCUGAGGAGCGAAAGCGUGGGGAGCGAACAGG